GUAUACUGGCGACCUGUUACACGCAAAAGCUGUUGGAAACCUUCAAAGUGCAUUUGAAUUCUACCGGAGGGAACACUUCACUAUGGGUAGAAAGUAGAUCAACUGAAGACAUCGAACGAUCAAUAGAACAGGCAAUAGAAGGACGUUGCAAAGAUGUAUGCAGAUGUCCGUUCAUAAACGAGCCUUGUAAAAAUACGACUGCACCCAGCACGAGUACACAUUGUAAAACACAACAAUAGGUACUACAACCGGUAGAACUACUAGUGCCAAAACAAUCGGCUUAACAACAUUUACUGAAAAUGUACUUCCUCAAUCACAAAAUGCCGAAGACAUGUGUGCAAAAUCCGAUAUUGUGAUUGCUAGUAUAUGUUCCUUUGUUGGCGGAGUAGUGUGCUCUGUGGCCUUAUUGCUUUUUCUCUUUCGUCGGCAUGUCUGCAAGGGAACUGAAACACGUAAACCUAAAGACGAAGGCAUUAUUCUUGAUGACGACGCCAUUAAAGCUGAGGUAAGUAUAAAUGUUUUUUUCUAAAAUAAAGUCACAAAAACCCUACACCGAUAAAAGCCCACAAAAGCUGAAUACCUUGACAAAAAAGUAAUUUAAAAAAGGGAGCCCCUUUCAUGUUAUUUUAUCCUUGAUUCCGUUUGUCUUUGUUUUAGUAUGUCCUUCUUUUACAGGCAUUCAAAGGAAGUAAGCCUGGUCCUGACAAAAAGACCUAUGAAACAUUGACUAGUAUAGAAAGUACAAAAACAGAUCAAGAACACCCGGAUCAUGUUUACCUCGGACUGAAUACAAGGCUAAGAGAGAUGUCAGAUGUCAAACACGUUGACGAAAAUACUUUACCCACAAACUCCAAUGAAAGAUCUAAACAAUCACAAGUAAAAAAACAAAGUGAUGCUUUGAAGGAGGACCAUGUUUAUAAUGAACUGGAAUCAGAAGGAUGUGCGAACGUUUACGAGGAUGCAAGGGCGAGUGACUUGCAUGACCACACAUACAUUGGACUGAACAACCGAGAGACGGAAGAUCGCAAUGAAGUUGGAAAGGACUUGAUACAAUGACCGCACAAGCGAGUACCACGAUUAUUUGAUUUUAGCAGACGAAGCCAAAGGACUUCCGGCAAAUGUAACACACAAAGCUUCAUUAGUGCAAGGCUGCGAGUUAUACACGACCGAAAUGACGGGAGUCGAUCCGUCUUCAAGCGACCAUGCUUAUUUUACGCUGCAAAAAAUUGAGCAAUCUAACAGCCUUACUCCAGAUGUUGAGCAAAAUGAUGAAGGAAGUGAAUCUGAAAAUUACACUGAUGGACAUGCAUACUAUACUCUUGAAAGGGUAUAAGUAUUAAGUUUUACAGGAGAACAUACGUACGUUAAUUAGUUCAUUAAAAAAUACAAUCGUCUUUCAUGCCAUACUUUUAAUUAUUGAAUUUGUUAUAUACCGUAAAUAGUUUACAUGUAUGUUCGAAUAUGUUUUAAUCUCUUCUGAAUAUUGCUUCCUUUACCCUAAAUUAUUUGACGGUAAGGAAAUAUUCACCAUCUUCUUUCAUUCAGUUUAGAUGUCGUAACAACGUAGUGAAUAGUGUAUAAAGGUAAAUCUGUGUUACUGAUACUAGAAGAAGAUUUUGUGGUUUGCAAUCAUCUCAGAUAUUUCAAUACUUAAUAUGCUUUUCUUAUGGACUUUCGAACUACUGUUAUGAGCUUACUGUGCAACUGUUUCAUUAAAACUGCCUGUGUUAUAUCAUUCAUUAAAUUUAGUUGACUCACUGUACAUUCAUUGAUGUUAGGACAUAUAGAAUGGAAUGGAAAUUAAUUUGUAUAAGUGUGUAAGAUAUAUUUUGCUGUUUAAUCCACAGGCACACUGUAAAGUGUAUGAAAAAAUAGUAAAGAGUUAGUUUUUCAGUAAAAUAAAUAUGAAAUAGGGCCUACCAAUAUUUUGUUUGAUUAUCAUAGGGAUAUUGUUUAUAGACUACAUUGGAAAUAUUCUUAUUGUGUUUAGCAAAGUUAUAAGACGUUUUCUUAAGAUGUUAUAACCCGAUGGUUACUUUUGAGUCUCAACCCCAUUUUGGUGUUCAACACGUUACUCUUGGUUAUGACUGACGGGAUUCCGUGAUAGGCAGUGUUUAAAGUCAAUUGGGACUAAGCUGCUCUGGUAUAUUUUGCCUGCUUCGUAGAGCCCUUAAUGAGGUUUCUCUUAAUGCCAAGGUAUUGUGUGCAUGGGUAUAUGGUUCUUUUGACUUUUUAGUAUAAAUUUACAAGAGCAUUUUAUUGUUUAACAUACAUAUAUAGUUUGUACGGGAUUCAUUUGGCGGGAAUAACGUUUUUACACUGUCGUAUCACCAUGAUGGUUAUAAGUGAGGUUUGGUACGUCAUUAACCGGAUUAAAUUCCCUAGUGUCGUUUUUGCUUUUGAUCGUUCCAAGGCGGUUCCCAAUUACUAUCUAUAUUUGUUGUUUUGCUCCCGAUGUUUUAAUUUUGUCUAUGUACUUUUGUGUAUAUUUUGUUGUUCACAUUCACAAAUAGUCUUCUUCAUGACUACCGUGAGAAUGGACUGAUUUCCUUGAGCUUGGUUGUCAUAUUUGUCUUUGUUAUUUUUUGUUCCGGAUAUAAAUGUAAUCCAAAUCAGUAGGCAGAAUUAAUGUUUCGUCGCUUCGAAACAGAACAUUUCGCCACAUUAAACUUGUAAUCUGAACAUGAGCGUCUA